AUUGAACGCUGGCGGCAUGCCUUACACAUGCAAGUCGAACGGUAACAGGUCUUCGGAUGCUGACGAGUGGCGAACGGGUGAGUAAUACAUCGGAACGUGCCUAGUAGUGGGGGAUAACUACUCGAAAGAGUGGCUAAUACCGCAUGAGAUCUACGGAUGAAAGCAGGGGAUCGCAAGACCUUGUGCUACGAGAGCGGCCGAUGGCGGAUUAGGUAGUUGGUGGGAUAAAAGCUUACCAAGCCGACGAUCUGUAGCUGGUCUGAGAGGACGAUCAGCCACACUGGGACUGAGACACGGCCCAGACUCCUACGGGAGGCAGCAGUGGGGAAUUUUGGACAAUGGGCGCAAGCCUGAUCCAGCCAUGCCGCGUGCGGGAAGAAGGCCUUCGGGUUGUAAACCGCUUUUGUCGGGGAAGAAAUGCUCCGGGAUAAUACCCUGGGGAGAUGACGGUACCCGAAGAAUAAGCACCGGCUAACUACGUGCCAGCCGCCGCCGUAA
rnacentral:rRNA from 1 species